rnacentral:rRNA from 1 species
AGGCCUAACACAUGCAAGUCGAGGGGUAACGAUUGCUUCGGCCAGGCGACGACCGGCGCACGGGUGAGUAACGCGUUUGUAACCUACCUCUGUCUGGAGAAUAGCGCGAAGAAAUUCGGAUUAAUGCUCCGUAACACCAUGAUGAGGCAUCUCGUCAUGGUCAAAGCUCCGGCGGUCAGAGAUGGACAUGCGUAACAUUAGCUUGUUGGUGAGGUUACGGCUCACCAAUGCUACGAUGUUUAGGGGGUCUGAGAGGAUGGUCCCCCACACUGGUACUGAGACACGGACCAGACUUCUACGGAAGGCAGCAGUGAGGAAUAUUGGUCAAUGGGCGAAAGCCUGAACCAGCCAUGCCGCGUGAAGGAGGACAGCCCUACGGGUUGUAAACUUCUUUUGUACGGGAAGAAACACUUCUACGUGUAGAAGCUUGACGGUACCGUACGAAUAAGCAUCGGCUAACUCCGUGCCAGCAGCCGCGGUAAUACGGAGGAUGCAAGCGUUAUCCGGAUUCAUAGGGUUUAAAGGGUACGUAGGCGGAAGAUUAAGUCAGUGGUGAAAUCCUGCAGCUUAACUGUAGAACUGUCAUUGAUACUGAUCUUCUUGAAUAUAGUUGAGGUAGGCGGAAUGUGUCAUGUAGCGGUGAAAUGCUUAGAUAUAACACAGAACACCGAUUGCAAAGGCAGCUUACUAAACUAUGA